UUUGGGUGAAAAAAAUUGUCUGCAGGAAGGGAGUCAACUAAAGGCUUUAAGACCUGUACAAGUGAGGGGCCGAUUGCAAAAGCCAAAGCCAAAUGCAGGUAAAGCUGCUGAAAGAAAAGAAAUUCUCAUAUCACAGGAAGAAAUUGGGGCCAAUGUAGAGAAGAAUGAAAAUGAAUCCUGUGCUGAUAGAGAUACUCCUCAACACAUGGAAGAUCAAUCGCGUAAAGAUUUUGAAGAGGAAGAUGUCAUAUUACAGCCUGAGAAAAAUGAUUCUUUUCAAAAUGUGCAGCCAGAUGAGCCCAAGGUUCUUAAUGAAUGUCUAAGCGUUCAAGAGAAUAAUAAGGCAAAUAAACUUAACCAAGUCCCAAUUCUAAGGACUCGAUUUCAGAAACCAAAGCCAAAUAUAGGAAGAGGAACUGGAAGGAGAGAAAUUUCCUCAAAGGAAGAGGUACUAGAGAAGAUUCUUGUCUCUGGGGAAAUGGCGGCAGCAUUGAGAGAAACUGUAAGACUAGACACCUCACCAAAGGAGAUGGUACCAGCAGAGAUUAAUACUAAAGAAAUGCAGUCAGAUUUAAAAGAAACUGGAAGAAGAGCCAUUUCUCCCAGGGAGAAGAUUCUAGAUGUGAUUGAUGACACCAUAGAAAUGGAGACAGGUCUGAAAGCAAUGGGAAGAGAGAUUUGUCUAAGGGAGAAGACGCCAGAGGUGAUUGAUGCCACUGAGGAAAUAGACAAAGAUUUGGAAGAAGCUGGAAGAAGAGAAAUAUCCCCACAGAAAAAUGGCCCAGAGGAGGUUAAGCCUCUAGGUGAAGUGGAGACAGAUUUGAAAGCAACUGGAAAUGAGAGUUCCCCAAGGGAGAAGACACCAGAGGUGACUGAUGCCACUGAGGAAAUAGACAAAAAUUUGGAAGAAACUGGAAGAAGAAAAAUAUCCCCAAGGGAAAAUGGCCCAGAGGAGGUCAAGCCUGUAGAUGAAAUGGAGACAGAUUUGAACGCAACUGGAAGAGAGAGUUCUCCAAGGGAGAAGACACCAGAGGUGAUUGAUGCUACUGAGGAAAUAGAUUUGGAAGAAACUGAAAGAGAAGUAUCCCCACAGGAAAAUGGACUAGAGGAGGUCAAGCCUCUAGGUGAAAUGGAGACGGAUUUGAAAGCAACUGGAAGAGACAGUUUCCCAAGGGGGAAGACACCAGAGGUGAUUGAUGCCAUUGAGGAAAUAGAGAUAGAUUUGGAAGAAACUGAAAGAGAAAUAUCCCCACAGGAAAAUGGCCUAGAGGAGGUUAAGCCUCUAGGUGAAAUGCAAACAGAUUUGAAAGCAACCGGAAGGGAGAUUUCCCCAAGGGAGAAGACACCAGAGGUGAUUGAUGCCACUGAGGAAAUAGACAAAGAUCUGGAAGAAACUGGAAGAAGAGAAAUAUCCCCAGAGGAAAAUGGCCCAGAGGAGGUCAAGCCUGUAGAUGAAAUGGAGACAGACUUGAAAACAACUGGAAGAGAGGGUUCCUCAAGGGAGAAGACACGAGAGGUGAUUGAUGCUGCUGAGGUAAUAGAGACAGAUUUGGAAGAAACUGAAAGAGAAAUAUCGCCACAGGAAAAUGGCCCAGAGGAGGUCAAGCCUGUAGGUAAAAUGGAGACAGAUUUGAAAGAAAUUAGAGAAGAAAUUUCCCAAAGGGAAAAGGUGCUAGCAGAGUUCAGUGCUAUAAGGGAAAAGGAGAUUGAUUUGAAAGAAACUGGAAAAAGAGACAUUCCCAUCAUGGAGAAAGUAUCAGGAAAGAUGGCUGUUGUUGAAGAAAUGGAGGCAGAUUUGAAAGAAACUGGAAAAGAAAAUUUUAGAGAGAGAGGAUCUGAAGAGAUCUGUGUUACUGAGGAAAAGGUGGCAGAAUUGAAACAAACUGGAAAAACAGACAUUUCUCCAAGGGAAAACGAGCUAGAGGAGACCAGUACCUCAAGACAAACUGACACACAUUUAAUGCAGAGCGGUAGCAAUGACUUCAGUGCUGUGCCUUCACUAGAUAUUCAGAACAUUAGCAGUGAAGUACUGUCGAUGAUGCAUACACCUGUAGAAGAAAAAAGAAAUUCUGAAAAAGAAGUAUCAAGUCACUUCAGUCAUUUCAAGAUUUCUUCACAGACUCAUGAAUCUGAUAAAACAGAAGUCCAGGGGAUUCAAUCUCCAGAUGUUCCAGAGCAGUUUUCAGAUAUUAAUUUAAG
rnacentral:circRNA from 1 species